rnacentral:piRNA from 1 species
GCUUAGUGUUUCCACCAUUGUCUU